GUGAUGACAGGCGCAAUGUGACAGUUCAGUUCCGUCAAACAGUAGCGUUGAUAACAUUUUUUUAUUUGGUUUACCAUUUGUUUUUGUUUUGAUUUUCAUUUUAGAAUUCAAUUUGAUAACGAAAUCGUGUAAGAACAAUGAUUGAAAAAAAUGCAUAAAUUCACAAUCGCGUGAUACAAUUAAUAUCGAAGCGGAAAAGAAGGCAGCAUUUAAUGUAUUACAUAGUAGUGGAUCGUGCAGAAAACACCGAAGUUAUUUGAGAGAGAGAUACACAUAGGAACACACGUAUAUACAUAUACCGUAUAUAUAUAUAUCCAUAUAGGGAUUUCAACAUGGAAAUCAUGAAAUUUUGCUACUUAUGUUUCGAUCGAACAAAAGACGUUUAUCCGGUGGUGGAUGAGACAUUUAUGCAGAAAUUUAUAAGUUUUUCGCCAGGAAAUUGUACUAUAGGGCGAACCACGCUGUGUAAGGAGUGUUCACGGCGAAUUCAAUAUUUUGAUGAUUUAAAGGAGUUCGGAGCCCGAUCGAGUGCGCUGCGAAAUAAUUUAGCAUACAAUAUUGUUCCUGAAAAAAUUCAAAUGCAUCACAAUGGCAAGCCAUCGAAUCGAAAAAAGUACAUUCGACGUAAAAUCGCGUGUAAAUGUAUGCUCUGUCAAAAGGAGUUUCAAUCAAAAUGUUACUUACACAAGCACAUGAAACGCCAUCAAAAUGUUAAAGCGGCCUACAAAUGCAUGAUCUGCAAUUCGGAAUUUCUUUCGGCAAACAGUUUGUCGGCGCACGAAAAGACUCAUCCAACAUACAAAUGAAAACGAUUGCAUGCAUGCAGCAGUAGUAGCACCGGCAGCCGCCAUCAUCAGAGCCGCCGUCGUCGUCGUCGCCACCGCAGCAGCAGCAGCAACAACCAAUAAACAAUAAUAAGAACAGAAACAACAAGACGAAGAGAGAGAGAGAGAGAGAGAGAGAGAGAGAGAGAAACAGCAACAACACAACAGACACAGGCACAUGUCAACAAAACAAGAGAAAGGAAACCAUUUGUACUGCUAAUUUAAUAAUCUUGAACACGAGAGAGGAACUCAAAUAAUCGCUUAUGCAACGGAAUUUAGGCAGUUGACUUCUUUUUUUUUCCUGAUUCAUUUUCAAAUUAUUUAUUCGAUAUGUGUCCUAAUUCAUUGUCACCAAUAUGUUACUAUUUUAUAUCAGCAGGAUUGAUCGUGCGAUUGGUUAAAGAAAGAAAGGAGGUGUUUUAGAUAGGCAUGAGUACGGGCUCGAUGGAAUAAAAGAAAAACAAAACAACAUCAAAAUUUAAUACUAAAUUUGAGAGCCAUUUCAUCCAUGUGACGAGCAACAAUACCUUAACUAUUUCUUCAUUUUUGUUUUUCCAACUAUUAUAGUAUUUUGUACCAGCCCAACAGCGUUAAAGAAUCGGCCAGACUUUUGAUAUGUCUGAUGCACACUCGGUUGCCAUGUUACAUUGAUUAUUAUCGGUCAUUGAAUUUUUUUCUCUCAAAAGGGAUUUUACGCUCUUGAACACUUACUUCUACCGGCCUCUUCCGCUAAAUUGAAUGCAAUGAUAAGAAAAAAUUGUUUUUUUUCGUUCAAAAUGUUCUACUGUUGUAAUAGCAAAGAUUGCAAAAGUUUGGUUCAUUCUUUGAGUUACCGUUCGAAAAUGUAGCCAUAGGGCAUCAUCAUAAUCAUCCUCAUCAUAAGCAAUCUCCAUGGAUUUGGCGAUUCUUAAGAAUUUCAUUUUUAAAUUUGCACCAACAUUUAUUAGCCAUUUAGAUUUGCUUCCGUGUUUAUUAUUUUUUGUGCAUAACCAGCGAUGAGAAUGUUAUUCAAAAUCGAAAAAUUUUGCAAAAAAUGAGCUCAUGAGUGCGUGUCUAUUCAUCGCUCGAUCUAAAGAAUAUGGAUGAAAUGGAAUUUUGAGAACGACAAUUGACUUUACGACUAUUGAUUUUAUCCAUCUUCAAUACAAUUAAAACAUUUUUUUUUUGUCAUUUAUCCCUUAAGAAUGAUCUUAAAUAAAUUUUAUUAUUUUAUUCAUUUGCAUACAAAUUGAAAUAAUAAUAAUAUUAAUAUUAAUAAUAAUAAUAUUAAUAUUAAUAAUAA